rnacentral:rRNA from 1 species
GAUGAACGCUGGCGGCGUGCCUAAUACAUGCAAGUCGAGCGAACAGACGAGGAGCUUGCUCCUCUGACGUUAGCGGCGGACGGGUGAGUAACACGUGGAUAACCUACCUAUAAGACUGGGAUAACUUCGGGAAACCGGAGCUAAUACCGGAUAAUAUAUUGAACCGCAUGGUUCAAUAGUGAAAGACGGUUUUGCUGUCACUUAUAGAUGGAUCCGCGCCGCAUUAGCUAGUUGGUAAGGUAACGGCUUACCAAGGCAACGAUGCGUAGCCGACUUGAGAGGGUGAUCGGCCACACUGGAACUGAGACACGGUCCAGACUCCUACGGGAGGCAGCAGUAGGGAACCUUCCGCAAUGGGCGAAAGCUUGACGGAGCAACGCCGCGUGAGUGAUGAAGGUCUUCGGAUCGUAAAACUCUGUUAUUAGGGAAGAACAAAUGUGUAAGUAACUAUGCACGUCUUGACGGUACCUAAUCAGAAAGCCACGGCUAACUACGUG